AAGGAAGGAAGGAAGGAAGGAAGGAAGGAAGGAAGGAAGGGUGGAUAGAUGGAUGCAAAAGAAAGAGUGUCUGAAAUUGAGAAUGAUGUGGGGGUGACAUGACAUGUGGCUGAAUUCACAGGCUUUAUGCUGACCCGGAAGGCUAGCCCACAGAAGUGGGAGGGCACAAGCUACACAGCCUGGGAGAUCUGGGACAGAGAGACCCAUCCAGGACUGGCUCCUAAAAAUCUUGGCAUCUUGGUGAAUUUUUUUCUUUUUCUGAAUUUCCUAUCUUUGAUAAAUAGGAAUAAAUACUCCUACCUGAUUUGGUUACUGUGUUUUUGUUUUCGAGAAGAUUUCUCUGUGUAGCCCUGGCUGUCCUGAAACUCACUUUGUAGACCAGGCUGGCCUCGAACUCAGAAAUCCACCUGCCUCUACCUCCCAAGUGCUGGAAUUAAAGGCGUGCUUCACCACGCCCAGCUCUAUUUUUGUUGUUGUUGUUUUUGAGACAGAAUCUUUAGUAGUCCAGGCUGACCUCAAACUCAUUAUAUAGCCAAGGAUGGAUUUCAAGUUUCUGAUCCUCCUGCCUCUACCUCAUGAGUUCUAGGAUCACAGUUGUGUACCACUAAGCCCAGUUUUAUGCUGUGCUGGAGACCGAAUCAGGGUUGUGUGCAUGCCAGUCAAAGACUACCAACCAAGCCACAUCCCUAGCCCCCUCCACAGGACAUUUGUUCCAGGCCUUUUACCCAGUUCCUCCUCUGGGUAUUGUCUGAUUAAGGGCAGGAUUUUUUGUUUUUGUUUUUGUUUUUGUUUUGAGUGAUAUUAUAUCCAUUCGCUAGACCAGACUCCUUGGUUAGGGUUAGGUGGUUUGCAUACCUCAGGAGGCUCAGUGUCCAGCCCAGGCAGGACCCUAAGUCCUAUUGUGAUAAAUGUUAGAAUGGGCCAGGGAGUGCCGCUUACCAGUAAAGCAAGCAGCUAGCAUGUGUGAGGCACUGGAUUCUGGAGCUGGAGAGAAGAAGGCUCAGUAGCUAACACUUGUUGCUCUUUCAGAGGAUGGGAUUUGGUCCCAGUCCAUGGUGGCUCACACCACUGCCAGCUGUAACUAAAAAGAGAAUAUAGAAAGAAGCAUCUGGAUUAAAAUAAAGCGAAAGGAUGCAUACACAGUCUCUCUUUAGGGCAUUUUAUGAAUUAGUGACCGAUGAGGCAGGGUGCAGCCCACUGUGAGUGGCACCAAUUGGCAGGGGGUCCUGGAUUCUGUAAGAAAGCAGGCUGAGCAAGCCAGUCAGCAACAUUCCUCCAUGGCUUCUGCAUCAGCUCCUGCCUUCAGGUCCCUGCUCUGUGUGAGUUCCUGUCCUGACUUCCCUCAGUGAUGGACUAGGAUGUGGGAGCGUAAACCUUCUCUCUCUCUUGCUGAAUGGUUGCAGGCACAAGGUGCAGGGAUAGAAAACGAAAACCAAAAAUUAAAAAAAGCCCUUUCCUCUUCUCCAGCUUGUUUUUGGUCAUGGUGUUUCAUCACAGCAAUAGUAACCCUGACUAAGAAGAGGGUCCUGACUUCUGUUUUAUCACUCACGACUGGUUUGUUUUUUACUUUUUAGUUUUGUUUUUGUUUUUCUGAGACAGGGUUUCUCUGUGUAGCCCUGGCUGUCCUGGAAUUCAGACUGUAGACCAGGCUGGCCUGGAACUCAGAGACUCAGCUGGCUCUACCUCCUGAGUGCUGGGAUUUAAGGGGUACAUCACCACUGCUAGGCCUUUCAAGGGGUUCUUCAACUAUUUUGUGAUAUUUGGAAUUCUCCUAAGAGCUUGUGGUUUCACUGCAAAAGAAAUCAUCUAUGUUGAAAUGCUAUCAAAAAUUAUUGCCAAAUAUUAAUUGCACAAAGGAGUUUGAUUAUGACAAAAUAGAUACAAUUAUAAUUUGCUUGUUUUCUUAUGCUUACUUUAUAUCCGUAAGUGUUUUGCCUGCACGUAUGUCUGUACACCAUUUGGAUGCCUGGGACACGCAGAAGCCAGACAAAGGCAUGGAAUUUCCUGGGAGUGGAGUUACAGAUGGUGGUGAGCCACUGUGUGGAUGCUGAGAAUUAAACUCAGGUCCUCUAAGAAGAGCAGCCAGUGCUCUUAACUGCUGAGUCAUCUCUUCCAGGAAAUCUAUUUUUAAAGCUAUAUGUCUGAUGUGAUCGUUAUCUUUCUUACAUAUUAAGCUACUGCAGAAGCUCUAAUAACUAGUAAACUUUUCCGUUGAUCCAGGCCUGGGAUGUAGCUCAGUGGCAAGGGAGCUAACCUAGCUUCAGAGACGGUCUAGGUUCAAACCGGAAAAACACAGGCAAACAAGCAAAAUCUCCUGCCUCAUAAAUUCUCUUCCAUCUACAGGGCUUGCCCAAUGUAUCAUUGAUUUGAUAGCAGCGUAUUCUUCAGCCACGACACCAGCACUCUGAUGAGAGAACUGUGAGACCCUGGCCAAACGCCCAACGCGCGCUGUCCCUGGCGCUCUGGUUUCUCUGCACCAUCCAGCUCCUUCUGCCACGCCACUGCGCUUCGUUGCAGGGCACGCGGACUUUCUUCGACCUUAAUUCAAAAAAUGGAGAGCCAGGCCUUCUUCGCCCGUGUUCACCAUCUCCCACCUCCAGACACGUACAGCUUGCCUGCCCUGCUGUUUUCUUCGCGGCAUUUAAUAAAGUUGCCCUCAAACUU
rnacentral:lncRNA from 1 species